GUGCAUGCCAAACCCUAGAAACAGACCUUGUGAUGGACAACAAAGGCCACCAAUGAAUUCCAAAGCACCUAAAGCCAGAGUAAGCCUUGUAGGAACAGGGACCUUGUCUAUCUCCUCUUCACCUGCGUCCCCAGUACCUGGACUGGCAUAAAGUUGAUAGUUAAGAAACGACUGUUGGAUCAAAUAUAGAUUCUUGGCCUCCUCUUCAGGGCUACCUGCCACGGCAGCUACUCGUUUCGAGACUCUCGCACCCUCUCGACAGGCUGAGCUGUGGCCAGCCAUUCAGCUGCUUGCUGGCUCUCCUGCCUGUGUGUAUGACAGCCUCUGACUCAACUGCUUCACCAUUAACUCAUUCCUUCCUGAAGAUGACCCAGAAUGAUUAAACUAAAAUGUUGAUUCUUUCCUGGAACAUGUCACCAACUCCUUCCUGUCUGCCUUAAGAGCAGGUAGACUGUUGUUGUCCAUUUUCUAUCCUUGGAAUAGUCUUUGGUAUUAAAAAUGAACUACCACUGAGAUCUACUUGAACUAUCAAUUCCUACCUGCUUCAACCCUGCCCCCAACACUCCGCCAGCAAGUACCGAAGUCAGCAGAUUUAACCUUUGCUGGUACCCAAGUGAUGGGGUUGUCUGAGCAACCAUUUUUCCAUUUCUGGGUUCUUAACCCUUUGAGAGCAGUCAAUGGUGGCCAGAAGAGAAUCAAAACCCCUGAUCAGAUUUAUUGUUUCAAGAGCUGGACUGGAGAAUAUUGCAAGACUUCUCUCCUCCCUCCCUAUCCCCCUAAGCAGCCUAUAGCUAACUGGCAAA